UACGUAGGGUGCAAGCGUUAAUCGGAAUUACUGGGCGUAAAGCGUGCGCAGGCGGUUUUGUAAGUCUGACGUGAAAUCCCCGGGCUCAACCUGGGAAUUGCGUUGGAGACUGCAAGGCUAGAAUCUGGCAGAGGGGGGUAGAAUUCCACGUGUAGCAGUGAAAUGCGUAGAGAUGUGGAGGAACACCGAUGGCGAGGGCAGCCCCCUGGGUCAAGAUUGACGCUCAUGCACGAAAGCGUGGGGAGCAAACAGG
rnacentral:rRNA from 1 species